UACGUAGGGUGCGAGCGUUAAUCGGAAUUACUGGGCGUAAAGCGUGCGCAGGCGGUUUUGUAAGUCAGAUGUGAAAUCCCCGGGCUUAACCUGGGAACUGCGUUUGAAACUACAAGGCUAGAGUGUGGCAGAGGGGGGUGGAAUUCCACGUGUAGCAGUGAAAUGCGUAGAGAUGUGGAGGAACACCGGUGGCGAAGGCGGGAUCCUGGGCCAGUACUGACGCUGAGGAGCGAAAGCGUGGGGAGCAAACAGG
rnacentral:rRNA from 1 species